rnacentral:rRNA from 1 species
UACUCGAGUGGCGAACGGGUGAGUAACACGUGGGUGAUCUGCCCUGCACUCUGGGAUAAGCCUGGGAAACUGGGUCUAAUACCGGAUAGGACCAUGCUUUAGUGUGUGUGGUGGAAAGUUUUUUCGGUGUAGGAUGAGCCCGCGGCCUAUCAGCUUGUUGGUGGGGUAAUGGCCUACCAAGGCGGCGACGGGUGGCCGGACUGAGCGGUUGGUCGGCCACAUUGGGACUGAGAUACGGCCCAG